AUAGAUCGACUUUCUUCUUGGGUUACUCCCCCACCUUCAUCUGAGAAACGAUGAGAAUUCCGUCGGUACGUAACGGCCUUCAUCACUCCCAAGCAUUCAUGGCGAUUCAUUGCGAACAUCCCACUCCCAAGCAUUCAUGGCGGCUCUUGGUGUUCUUGGCGUACCUCACUGGAGACUAGGGUAUACACUCAUGUAGACCUCAAGAUCACAGUUUCUAAUCGCCAAUUAAGAAAAAUUUCUUCUGCUUCCCGACAAUCACUAUGGCGAAUCCCCAGAUCCGUCUUGCUAAUCUGACCGUUGGCCGGAGCUCCGCCGCUGUGUAGGUUCGAUUGUUGCGAUUUUGGGUAGCUAGGAACGUGAGGAGAGGUGGGGAGCUCAUGAGCCUCGACAUGCUCUUCUGAGAGUGGUCAGUGUCUAUAUUCCUACGUUUAAUUGACUGCAAGUUAAUAUUAUUUCAUAUUUCCAGUGAUGUAACGGUCGUUGUCAGUAUGUUUGAAAGCAACGGAUCUGAGCCAAGAAUUUGUGCUUGGAGGUCAAGAACCUGAUAAUUUGUGUGUUUUUUUUCCAGAUGCAUAUAUCUUUUGUCUAAUUUCUUGCAUACAAUGUGGUUUCUCACAGACAUAGCUUCUUAUUGCAGUCGGGUUAUACAUGAACUCUGCAUCCGGAACACAUAUCUACUUUGUCUCCGAGACAGCAGUAGGAAUGACAAGUUAGUAUCUCUUAUAAUGAAGGGCUAUUUGUCCACAGAAACUAUAUUGUGGGCUCUUUGUCCGCAUAAACUAUAUUGUCAUUUGUUUUUGUUUUUCUUUGACUUUCUGGGUUCGUUUAACCCCUUUCAGAUUGACAGCUAAUGGGACAGAACAGACACCAACUGUGUCGAAGGUGGUACAUGCCCAGAAAUUGAGCCACUCACAGUCUCUGAGCUUAAUGAAUAUGUGAUCACUGCCGAUGCUCAGAUAAUUGAGUUUCUCUGCACUGCCAAAGUGAAUAUAUUGAAAUUCAUGCUGAUAAAGGUUGGUGCUAUAUUGGCUUCUCCAAAUGUUCAAAGAAACUCUUGCAAGAGAUAUCUUCAUUCACAUUUCUCUUUUGUAAUAAGACUGAUGCUGUGGGUGUACAGAGGUACCGUGUGGAAUUCUCUGUGUCUGACCAGACUGGUGCAGCUGUUUUAGUGGUUUUUGAUGAGGAGAUGGCUAAAAUUACCAACACUAAGCUUCUGAAGCUGCGUAUAUUGUGGUAUACCCUGUUAUUAAAGACUGACUAUUGAUUUUGAGCUCUGGAACCUAUGGUGUGUGAUUCAAUGGUGACAUUAUCAGACUAAGUUGGAACGCAAAACUUCUUGGGCAAAAUCAAACUCAACUCAGCUCAACUUACGUUGCACUUUACUAUUUAAAAGUGAUGACUCGAGUAAGGCGGCAUCAGAAGGUAUGCACAAGCGGUUACACUCAUGCUCUGUUUGUAUGGAACAGUCGUCAGCAAAAUGCCUGAUUGUAGCUGAAAAAAAUCAAACGCACAAGACGACAAGUUGGUGGUAACUGAGAAUAAAAGUAUAUACAUACCCAAUAUAUAAAGUCCCAACUGUGCACCUGUGACAGAAACCAGAUUCUUUGCUCACAUUCCGUUCAUGCGCUCAUCAAUUCAAAUGUCGCGAUUAUUUUUA